GUGCUCGCUUCGGCAGCACAUAUACUAAAAUUGGAACAAUACGGAGAAGAUUAGCAUGGCCCCUGUGCAAGGAUGACAUACAAAUUUGUGAAAUGUCCCAUGUUAAA